AGAGACUAUAUUCUAGUGGCAGAACCUUUAACAAUCCAAGAUAACCUAAAUGGCAUGAUAAGGCUUUGGAAGAGGAAAUUGAUGGUGGCAAAAUGAAUUAAAAUCAUAGAUUUGCAUGGAGUGUAGUCCAGGUGUUUACUCAACUAAAACCCAUUGGAAGUCUUCUGCAUUUGGGGAGAGAAUGUUCUUGAAUUGUGGCUAAAAGUUCAUCAUUCCGUAGCCAUGAACCAGCUUCUCCAGAUUUAGCUAUAAAGUAGUGGUCAUCAAACUACAGACAGAUGGUUCACCAACAGAGGAGAAAAAAACAAACAAAACAAAACAAAACAGAAAAAAGAAGAUGUCUUCCAAUGGCAAGAAGAAAAAACUUUGGUUCAAACAGAACAGAAACAUACAGAUUCUGAAGGAAGAUACCUGUUCUCAAGGAAGGUACACUUUAUUGAGGAGACAAUGGGUCCAAGAACAGAGAAAGAAAAGGACUUUUUGUUCCUCUCUGUUUUUCCUCCAUUUACCUAAUAAAGAUUUGUUUCCAUGUGAUUGUCUAAUGCCUUUGAGGAGAUAGCACCUGGAGAAAAGAAAACUGACUGAGGCUCCAUCUGGAUGAGAGGAAGCAGUAUCUGGAAGAACUGGCAAAGGAGACAGCUGUUAUUCCAUCAAAGACACAUGUCUUCUCACUUACAGGGAGCCUUGGAAUGUCAAGGUGCCUUUUGCAUUCCUCUUGAUUCCUGGAUUCUCAUGCACUUGGCAUGUGUGGAGGAUAGGUUAUCAGCAAGGAUGCCUGUAAGUCACCUUGGAGCAUUCCAUUUAACUAUUCCAUUUAUUCAGAGGUAAAUGUAACCCUCAAACAGACUAUUGCCAUUAAGUCCUAUAUAUCGUAAAUAAUGCCAACUACAUCUGCUGCUAUUUAAAAUGGAAAGAGGAAUUCAAAUAUUUGAGAUGAGAUUAGAAAGUUGGAGGAACCAGAAAUUCCUAGCAAGGUAAAGAAAGGGGGAUAGUGUACCUUUAUAUUGAAACAAUUACCUGGGGUAAUUCUACCUCAAGAUGGAAUAAGCUUUAUGUAACCAAGGGGUCCAGUGGAGGAUUGCAGUUCCAAGAAUGGUUAAAGGAGAUACUUCAGAUGAGUUGGCUCAAAAUCCAGAAAGAAGCAAGAGUAUUCAUAAUAAGCAUAUUUGGUUCAAAUUAUGGAUGUGUUAUUUUACCACUUUUGGGAAAAUGGAAGAAGUGUACUAUUUCUGUCCACCUUUUCAUUAUAUAUCUAAGGAUAAAAUAGUGGGCUUUUAGGGAAGCAGGCCAAAAAAAGGGCUAAAAAGGAUGAACUAAAAAGAAAAUGAAAUAUUAUCUACACCUCAUUAAAAAUCACUUAUCAAAAUGUAUCUCUCUUGUAAUGUGUAAUCAUGAGGUGGGGCAGUUGUAGGUCUGGAGCAUCAACUGAAUUAACCAACCUUCACCUAUAGCUGGAUUUACAAUAGGAGAAAAGCUUUCAAAUUAGUGGAAAAGAGCCAGAAUUCAUAUGUCAGAAAACUCCCUGGGCUGGUGUUAUAUGGAAGGCAUUGCUCCAUCUAUCUUCCCCCUUCCUGCUCCCUAUGACACAGUGUAUUUUGUGGAUUAUCUACUCUUUUAGAUAAGGCCUUCAUCUGAUUCAUUCAAUACGUAUUUAUUUAGCACUGAGUAUGUGUCAGGCAGGACUCCUAUAAGAGGCAGCAGGGACUUCUUUUGGCAACUCCACAAGUCAGUAAGUCCAAAGAGGGCAAGUCACCUUAGGUAUGUCUUAUACCAAAUUACAUUAGAACAGAUGUGAUUAUGCUUUUGUAAUUGCUACAAAGACAAAAAUGAUGAAGAGAUUUGUUGUAAAACAACAGAAUGACAAGACAAGUGAGAGUGAAUAAUAAAGUCACCUGAGGAGUGUAAUGCUUGUUUAUUUUGUGUGUAUAUCUCUGCAAUAUAUUUUCUAUACAUGGACAGAAUA